rnacentral:tRNA from 1 species
GCCCCUGUAGCUCAGUUGGCCUAGAGCAGCGGGUUUUUACCCCGUGUGUCGUCGGUUCGAAUCCGACCGGGGGCACCU